rnacentral:lncRNA from 1 species
CUGGUUCCUUGCAGCUGUGACUCCCCAGGGUAAGAGGCAAAGAGCCACCAGGUCCCAGCUGAGGAAGCCCUGUGGUCAGCUCAGACAGGGAUGCGGACUGAAGCCGAAGCAGGUGUUAGUAAUUGUCGUACCUACAGACGAGGAAACCGAGCCUCCAUGAAGUGAAGUGACUCACCCACAGUCACACAGCUAAUAUAUGCCAGAGCCCACAGCAGAACCCAGACGUACUGAGGCCAAGUUCCAUGCCAGCAUAAAACAGGCUCUGGCAUCCGGUGCAGUCUUGCUCGUCAUCUCCGCUUCCCUCUGCUUCUUCCCAGGCUCCAGUUCUCCCUGGAUUCCAGGAACACCAUCUCCUUCCUCGUCCCUUCCAUCCCAGGGAAGGUUUACACUGAAAAUUUUUUGUGAUGAAAAGAUUUGAAGAAGAUGACAGGAGAUGGAGAAGCACCAGCUGAUCUGCAGACUCCAAGGAGGUCCCAGGAAGAGGAAUCUCAUCAAAUGACCAGGAAAGAAGCAAAGAGACGGAGUUGUCACUAUACCCAGAUAGACUACUCAUCUAUUCUCGAGGGCAGGUCUGACAACCUUUGUGCAAGGUGACGUUUCACUCCUCACCUUCCCAACACCUCCCCCAGAGCUCAGAGGAACUUUUGUCAUUUACUCCUACACACCUCAUCCCCGCCUUCCCUAAGAAGAGAGGGUAGACAGGCAUCUGGACCCUGCUGGGUUAUUAGGCCAUUACUCUUCUGCAAUUCCCCAUGGUAUGCACGUUAAAAUAAACGCAUGCCUUUUCUCCUGUUGCUCUGCCUUUUUCAGUUCAUUUUCAGCAAACCUUCAGAGGGUGAAAGGGGAAGUUUUCUUCUUUGUCCCUACAUUUUGCAUUGUCUUAUACCUUGACAUUUUUCUACUCGUCAAGUUAAACUGUAAAGCAAAAUAUAGAUCAUUAGCUGACUAAUUAUUUUUGAGUUAAAAAGUAGCUAGCAUUUGGUUUUGGGUACCACAGUGUGUCUAAUAUAGUCUUUUUAGAAGCAAUGAUCUAUAAACAUUUUUUAUCAUUCACCAUUUCUGGUUGAGUAAAGUGACUCACAGUUGUAGUCCUACCUAUUCAGGACGCUGAGGCAGGAGGAUCACUUCAGCCGAGGAAGGAGUUCAAGUCCAGCCUGGACGGUCUCUAAAAAUAUUAAAAUUUAAAAAAAAUUCUGAACAUGCAACCCCAAUAUGUAUUUAUUUGUAAAUGAUAUACUGUCACUAAUACAUUGACAUUAAACAAGUAGAAAACA